AGGCGGGGUUUUACUUAAGCGGUUGUGGUUCGUGGAGAACAUUAUUAUCAGAGAAAGACUGUACCUUUUCUGGAAGAUUGUAUUCUUUAUCACCUGGUUUAGAGACUGGCUUAAAGAAACAUAGCCCUCCUGCUGUUGCUCCUCCCCCUCCAUCAGUUGAUAUUAAUAAAUUAAGACGAAUAAUAACUGAAGUGAUACGAACCAACUACGCUACAUUCAAUAAAAUGUGAUGUAAAGACAUUGUUAAUCAGAUUAUAAGAAGCAUAAUGAAGGUGGUACCACUGCUUCAGCUUGUAAGUAUAAGU